GACGGGUGAGUAACACGUGGGAACGUACCCUUUGGUUCGGAACAACCCUGGGAAACUAGGGCUAAUACCGGAUACGCGCGAGAGCGGAAAGGUUUACCGCCGAAGGAUCGGCCCGCGUCUGAUUAGCUAGUUGGUGAGGUAACGGCUCACCAAGGCGACGAUCAGUAGCUGGUCUGAGAGGAUGAUCAGCCACACUGGGACUGAGACACGGCCCAGACUCCUACGGGAGGCAGCAGUGGGGAAUAUUGGACAAUGGGCGCAAGCCUGAUCCAGCCAUGCCGCGUGAGUGAUGAAGGCCUUAGGGUUGUAAAGCUCUUUUGUCCGGGACGAUAAUGACGGUACCGGAAGAAUAAGCCCCGGCUAACUUCGUGCCAGCAGCCGCGGUAAU
rnacentral:rRNA from 1 species